AAAACUCUGUUGUUGGCCUAGUGAAGGUAUGGAUUGCAACGGUGAUGACUGAGAUUGAGAGGCUGAAGCAUACUGUGACAUGGCAGACACUGGACUAGGAAUCUGCUGAUGAUCAACCAGUUGCUGGUGCUGCUGGGACAUUGAAUGCUGUGGCUGCUGUUGCUGUUGGUCGUUAAACAAAGGCUGCUGCUGGUGUUGCUGUUGGUUAUUAAAUGAAUUCUGGUGCUGCAAUUGUUGCUGAAGUAGAUGUGGCUGAGACUGAUGCUGGUUGUCUUCAACACCCUGAA
rnacentral:lncRNA from 1 species